AACGUUUAAAGCUGGACCGACGAUUGGGCAGCACAAUCAUUCCCCUACUCCCUGGGUGCUUAAUCGCAAUACAAUGUUCCAGGAACUAAAGAGGAGGGCUUCAGAGGAGAGUAUUCCUCUGAAUGCCAUAUAUGAGGAAGAAGCUGCCAGAUAUCCGGAUGCUGCAUCUCACCUGCUCUAUGAGAGUGUGCUGCCAUCGAUGCGGAAGGGGAGGAG